rnacentral:misc_RNA from 1 species
AUGUGCAGCAACUUUUCUAUCAUGUUCAUGGUUUUUUUUUUUUGGCAAUGUGAUUUUUUUUAAUGACAUAAAGAAGAUGAUUUUUUUCCACGACCUUGUAAUAAUUGGAACUAACAAUAUGGCCAGUACAAAAAAAAAAAAAAAAAGUCUUUAUUGUGAUAAUUCAGGAGGCAAUAGUUUCUCAUAUUUCCAUUCAUGAGCUUUCCACUCAGGCAGUUGUUGGAUGACAACCUGCAUUAGAUUGAGGGCAUAAGCAAAAAAAGAAAAGAAUUGCUUCAUAUGUAUGUUUAUAGUUAAAGGAAAAGAUGGCCAAUGGGCCAUAGAACUAGUUAUUAAGAAAUUUGGAUUACAAACCAGUCCUCUAGAAUCUGUUUUACCAACUGUGGUUUGGCAAGCAAGUCUCCAGUUUUUGGGUUUCUGAAAAAAAAAGAAACUUUCAGCAUUUGAGAAAAUAGCAAUAAAAGCAAUAGGAAUUGCAACUUGAAGAAUGAUGAUAAAUGACAAUGACAAGGAUAUAUAUACAUACCUUCUUGAGUAUUUCCUUCUCUGUGUCUGUACGAGGGUUAAGCAACUCCUUCCCCAUUAUAACCUGACAUUAUCAUUAAACUUUUGUUACAGGUUAGAAAAGGGUUAACAAGACUUUAUCAGAAUUGGUUAAUUUCGUCGGAGCUCAUGUGGUAGCAGAUAUAUAACUCACCUCUACCAUGCAAGUCCCACAGGUUCCUGUUCCAGCACAAUUUAGCAAAGGUCUUGCAUAUGGUCCAUACAAUUCAAUAUUUGAAUCCAACAUUACAUCUCUAAGCUUCUGCCCACCACAGGCUGUACGAAAAUGCACAUCAGGUGUUCCAUCUGGUAGUAACACAGACUAAAACCAAAAAAUAAAUACAUAUAUGGUGUCGCCAUUGUAUUUUAUUGUAAAACUAAUCAUUUUUCACUUACAUGAACAAAUGCAAAAUUGAUGGAAGGUGGAUCUUCAGGCUCCUUGGCAUCGGAUUUACUCUCCGGUACCGUUCCUACGGCCCUGAUUUUCAGCCUGGAGAAACUAAUAUGGGUGGGGGGCUUAAGGUUUUUGAGAGUGUUGGUAGUUUGCUUCAAGUUUUGGGGAACUUUCAGGGAAGCUAAACCAUAAGAGUUGAGUUGGAGAGUGCCCAUUUUCUGAUAUUUC